AACGAUGAAGCCCAGCUUGCUGGGUGGAUUAGUGGCGAACGGGUGAGUAACACGUGAGUAACCUGCCGUUAACUCUGGGAUAAGCCUGGGAAACUGGGUCUAAUACCGGAUAGGAGCGUCCACCGCAUGGUGGGUGUUGGAAAGAUUUAUCGGUUUUGGAUGGACUCGCGGCCUAUCAGCUUGUUGGUGAGGUAAUGGCUCACCAAGGCGACGACGGGUAGCCGGCCUGAGAGGGUGACCGGCCACACUGGGACUGAGACACGGCCCAGACUCCUACGGGAGGCAGCAGUGGGGAAUAUUGCACAAUGGGCGAAAGCCUGAUGCAGCGACGCCGCGUGAGGGAUGACGGCCUUCGGGUUGUAAACCUCUUUCAGUAGGGAAGAAGCGAAAGUGACGGUACCUGCAGAAGAAGCACCGGCUAACUACGUGCCAGCAGCCGCGGUAAUACGUAGGGUGCGAGCGUUAUCCGGAAUUAUUGGGCGUAAAGAGCUCGUAGGCGGUUUGUCGCGUCUGUCGUGAAAGUCCGGGGCUUAACCCCGGAUCUGCGGUGGGUACGGGCAGACUAGAGUGCAGUAGGGGAGACUGGAAUUCCUGGUGUAGCGGUGGAAUGCGCAGAUAUCAGGAGGAACACCGAUGGCGAAGGCAGGUCUCUGGGCUGUAACUGACGCUGAGGAGCGAAAGCAUGGGGAGCGAACAGGAUUAGAUACCCUGGUAGUCCAUGCCGUAAACGUUGGGCACUAGGUGUGGGGACCAUUCCACGGUUUCCGCGCCGCAGCUAACGCAUUAAGUGCCCCGCCUGGGGAGUACGGCCGCAAGGCUAAAACUCAAAGGAAUUGACGGGGGCCCGCACAAGCGGCGGAGCAUGCGGAUUAAUUCGAUGCAACGCGAAGAACCUUACCAAGGCUUGACAUGUUCGAUCGCCGUAGAGAUACGGUUUCCCCUUUGGGGNGGGUUCACAGGUGGUGCAUGGUUGUCGUCAGCUCGUGUCGUGAGAUGUUGGGUUAAGUCCCGCAACGAGCGCAACCCUCGUUCCAUGUUGCCAGCACGUCGUGGUGGGGACUCAUGGGAGACUGCCGGGGUCAACUCGGAGGAAGGUGAGGACGACGUCAAAUCAUCAUGCCCCUUAUGUCUUGGGCUUCACGCAUGCUACAAUGGCCGGUACAAUGGGUUGCGAUACUGUGAGGUGGAGCUAAUCCCAAAAAGCCGGUCUCAGUUCGGAUUGGGGUCUGCAACUCGACCCCAUGAAGUCGGAGUCGCUAGUAAUCGCAGAUCAGCAACGCUGCGGUGAAUACGUUCC
rnacentral:rRNA from 1 species